rnacentral:rRNA from 1 species
UUUAAACUGGUUUUGGAAAACCAAAUAUAUUAUAUAUUUUGCUUUGUUCAAAAUAAGGUUUUCUAAUAAAUUAUGUUUUUAUCAGAUAUGACAGAAUCUUUUUUAAAAUCUCUUCAAUAUGCUUUUAUUGCUUUUGAGAGGUUUUGUUACUUUGAGUAAAAUUAAGUGUUCAUAACAGACGGGUAGUCAUGAUUGAGUUCAUUGUGUA